CUAGUAACGGCGAGUGAAGCGGCAACAGCUCAAAUUUGAAAGCUAGCCUUCGGGUUCGCAUUGUAAUUUGUAGAGGAUGAUUUGGGGAAGCCGCCUGUCUAAGUUCCUUGGAACAGGACGUCAUAGAGGGUGAGAAUCCCGUAUGUGACAGGAAAUGGCACCCUAUGUAAAUCUCCUUCGACGAGUCGAGUUGUUUGGGAAUGCAGCUCUAAAUGGGAGGUAAAUUUCUUCUAAAGCUAAAUAUUGGCGAGAGACCGAUAGCGCACAAGUAGAGUGAUCGAAAGAUGAAAAGCACUUUGGAAAGAGAGUUAAAAAGCACGUGAAAUUGUUGAAAGGGAAGCGCUUGCAAUCAGACUUGUUUAAACUGUUCGGCCGGUCUUCUGACCGGUUUACUCAGUUUGGACAGGCCAGCAUCAGUUUCGGCGGCCGGAUAAAGGCUCUGGGAAUGUGGCCUCCACUUCGGUGGAGGUGUUAUAGCCCAGGGUGUAAUACGGCCAGCCGGGACUGAGGUCCGCGCUUCGGCUAGGAUGCUGGCGUAAUGGUUGUA
rnacentral:rRNA from 1 species